rnacentral:lncRNA from 1 species
CCUAUCCUUUUGUGUGUGCAUGGAAGAGUUUCAGUGCUCACCCAUAACUAUGUUAUUUGCAGCAUUCUGGCUUGCUGUGAAUUGCGCUGAAUGCUGCAAAGACUAAGGAAUGGAUUUCCACACCCCGACCUUUUUUCACCACAGCAGAGAGAACAGCCAUUGAGGUCCUUAUUCACAGAAGUGUCCAAUCCGCUCUCUGAGAUGUCUUUAGCUGCUUUCCUCAAUAGUGUCGGAUGAUGAACCAGAAUCACUUAAGCAUGAGUUUGACAGCGAACAUGUUAUUGCAGCAAUGUAAGAGUGCUUACAGCCAUAUUCUCAACUGGGAAGCUGCGAUCAAAACAGAUGGUUUCACCGUCUCUUUCUUAAAUGUAUCCUCUAAAAACAUAGUAAUUGUACUGUCCAAGUCUAUUUAUGUAUAUUUGGUGAUCUAUGUAAUAUAUUUUUUUACUUUAAUCAUUGGUAGCUCAUAGCUUUUUCUUCUGUCUGAAGCUUUGGCAGUUCCCGGAGUUUGUUGUCUUUGAGCUGAGAUGAUUUUUAUGAAAACCUCUCAGAGGUGGAACAGCUCUAAUUUGGUAUGGAACUAAGCAGUUAGGAAAGCUUCUGGAUAUCUGGGUAAUAGUAAAACAUCAAGCAAAUGAAUAUUUCUAUAAUUUGGAGGAGAAGUAGAUCCUCAAGGCACAAAGUUCUGUUCGUUGUUACCUGCUUUGUUCUUCUGUGAAGUUAUUUCAAGAAAGAAGGGAUUUGCAAAUGAAAUUUUAACUAGAAAAUUGUAACAUAUUUUCUUUUAAGACAGUAUAAGACUCUUGUAAGACAGUAUAAGACCUGUUAAUUCAAGGACAGAAAAGCCAUUCAUUUGUUUUAUCAGCAUUCGCUGUUCAUGAGAGCAAUCCAGUUAUCUUUAGUACUUGUCACGCUCUGCCUAUAAGGUUAUGAAUUAUAA